CUGCCGGGGACGGGCUCCUGGGCUUCACUGUCCGGGACUCGGAGUCGGCGAGGUUACUUUGAGUAAAUUAGAGUGUUCAAAGCAAGCCUACGCUCUGAAUACUUUAGCAUGGAAUAACAUGAUAGGACUCUGGCCUAUCUUGUUGGUCUGUAGGACCGGAGUAAUGAUUAAGAGGGACAGUCGGGGGCAUUCGUAUUUCAUUGUCAGAGGUGAAAUUCUUGGAUUUAUGAAAGACGAACUACUGCGAAAGCAUUUGCCAAGGAUGUUUUCAUUAAUCAAGAACGAAAGUUGGGGG
rnacentral:rRNA from 1 species